GACGGGUUUGUACGCAAGGCAUCAUGACCUUAAAGCGCGCGACCCCCGGGACUUGUAAAUCUUCCAGAAAGGAGGUCGCGCAAGAUGCCUUCAGGAAAAGUAAAAUGGUUCAACGAGUCUAAGGGUUUCGGUUUUAUCGAACAGGACUCCGGCGAAGACGUAUUCGUCCACCACACUUCCAUCCAGGGUGACGGGUUCAAGACCCUGAGAGAAGGCCAGAGGGUGGACUUCGAGGUCACCAAGGGGCCUAAGGGGCUCAAGGCCGAAAACGUAAAACCGCUGUAAUCCGCAGACUAUCUGCGGCAAAGGCCUUCACCCCAACAGGGGCGAAGGCCUUU
rnacentral:other from 1 species